AUGUACAUUAUCAUGUUAAACGUACAAGUUUUCGUCCGAUCAUUUAAGUUAAAUAAUAUUUAACACAGUUUAAUAUUUAAAUGGGUGAUCUUUUGGAAACAUCAUGUACUGUUAAUA
rfam:Atta cephalotes unplaced genomic scaffold scaffold00023, whole genome shotgun sequence.